GGAGUUUGGUCCGUGUCUCAGUACCAAUGUGGGAGACCUUCCUCUCAGAACCCCUACUGAUCGUCGCCUUGGUGGGCCGUUACCUCACCAACUAGCUAAUCAGACGCGGGUCCAUCUUAUACCGAAAAACUUUUACACACUGCAUCAUGCGAUGCUGUGCGCUUAUGCGGUAUUAGCAGUCGUUUCCAACUGUUAUCCCCCUGUACAAGGUAGGUUACCCACGCGUUACUCACCCGUCCGCCACUCAGUCAACAAAUCGUCACCCCGAAGGGAUCGUAAUAAGCUGCUUCGUUCGACUUGCAUGUGUUAAGCACGCCGCCAGCGUUCAUC
rnacentral:rRNA from 1 species